rnacentral:rRNA from 1 species
UACGGAGGGUGCGAGCGUUGUUCGGAAUCAUUGGGCGUAAAGGGCGCGUAGGCGGCCUUCUAAGUCAGACGUGAAAUCCCCAGGCUCAACCUGGGAACUGCGUCCGAUACUGGAUGGCUUGAAUUCGGGAGAGGGAUGCAGAAUUCCAGGUGUAGCGGUGAAAUGCGUAGAUAUCUGGAGGAAUACCGGUGGCGAAGGCGGCAUCCUGGACCGACAUUGACGCUGAUGAGCGAAAGCGUGGGGAGCGAACAGG